CCGGAAAUAGCUCAGUUGGUAGAGCGGUGGACUGUAAGAAUUGCUGUCAUCCAUAGGUCGCUAGUUCGAAUCUGGCUUUCCGGA
rnacentral:tRNA from 1 species